UACAGAGGGUGCGAGCGUUAAUCGGAAUUACUGGGCGUAAAGCGUGCGUAGACGGCUAUCUAAGUCGGGUGUGAAAGACCCUGACUCAACUGGGGGGUGUCGUGCGAUACGGUCGGACUGGAGGCCAGUAGGGGGAUGCGGAAUUCCGGGUGUAGUGGUGGAAUGCGUAGAGAUCCGGAGGAACACCAGCGGCGAAGGCGGCAUCCUGGACUGGUCCUGACACUCAGGAGCGAAAGCGUGGGGAGCGAUCCGG
rnacentral:rRNA from 1 species